rnacentral:rRNA from 1 species
UACGGAGGUGGCAAGCGUUGUUCGGAAUUACUGGGCGUAAAGGGCGCGUAGGCGGCAAGGCAAGUCAGGUGUGAAAGCCCCGAGCUUAACUCGGGAAUUGCAUCUGAAACUGCUGUGCUUGAGUUCUGGAGGGGGUAGUGGAAUUCCCAGUGUAGCGGUGAAAUGCGUAGAGUAUUGGGAGGAACACCUGCGGCGAAGGCGGCUACCUGGACAGAAACU